rnacentral:rRNA from 1 species
GACGGAGGAUGCAAGCGUUAUCCGGAAUGAUUGGGCAUAAAGCGUCUGUAGGUGGCUUUUCAAGUCCGCCAUCAAAUCCCAGGGCUCAACCCUGGACAGGCGGUGGAAACUACCAAGCUGGAGUAUGGUAGGGGCAGAGGGAAUUUUCGGUGGAGCGGUGAAAUGCAUUGAGAUCAGAAAGAACACCAACGGCGAAAGCACUCUACUGGGCCGACACUGACACUGAGAGACGAAAGCUAGGGGAGCAAAUGGG